UACGUAGGGGGCAAGCGUUAUCCGGAAUUACUGGGUGUAAAGGGUGAGUAGGCGGCAUGGUAAGCCAGAUGUGAAAGCCUUGGGCUUAACCCGAGGAUUGCAUUUGGAACUAUCAAGCUAGAGUACAGGAGAGGAAAGCGGAAUUCCUAGUGUAGCGGUGAAAUGCGUAGAUAUUAGGAAGAACACCAGUGGCGAAGGCGGCUUUCUGGACAGUAACUGACGUUGAGGCUCGAAAGCGUGGGGAGCAAACAGG
rnacentral:rRNA from 1 species